rnacentral:rRNA from 1 species
GAUAUCAAGCAAAACUGAAAAAAAGACGGUCUCAGUUCGGAUUGAAGGCUGAAAUUCGCCUUCAUGAAGUCGGAAUUGCUAGUAAUGGCAGGUCAGCAUACUGCCGUGAAUACGUUCCCGGGCCUUGUACACACCGCCCGUCACACCAUGAGAGUUGGAGAUACCCGAAGCCUAUGAGCUAACUUUUAGAGGCAGUAGUCGAAGGUAGAAUCAAUGAUUGGGGUGAAGUCGUAACAAGGUAUC